rnacentral:rRNA from 1 species
GACUACAAGGGUAUCUAAGCCCGUUUGCUCCCCACGCUUUCGUUCCUGAGUGUCAGAACAGGUCCAGUAAGCUGCCUUCGCUUUUGGUAUUCCUCUGUAUAUCUACGGAUAUUACCCCUACAUACAGAAUUCUACUUACCUCUACCUGUCUCUAGUUUGCCAGUUUUGAAUACAUGACUUGAGUUAAGCUCAAGGCUUUAACAUCCAACUUAACAAACCACCUACGAACGCUUUACGCCCAAUAAUUCCGGAUAACGCUUGCAACCUACGUCUUACCGCGGCUGCUGGCACGUAGUUAGCCGUUGCUUAUUCCUGAGGUACCUUCAGAAUUAUUCCCUCAGAAAAGGAGUUUACGACGAAAACGCCUUCAUCCUCCACGCGGCGUUGCUCCGUCAGGCUUUCGCCCAUUGCGGAAGAUUCCUCACUGCAGCCCCCCGUAGG